rnacentral:rRNA from 1 species
UACGGGGGGGGCAAGCGUUGUUCGGAAUUACUGGGCGUAAAGGGCUCGUAGGCGGCCAACUAAGUCGGACGUGAAAUCCCCGGGCUUAACCUGGGAACUGCAUUUGUGACUGCAUGGCUAGAGUGCGGCAGAGGGGGAUGGAAUUCCGCGUGUAGCAGUGAAAUGCGUAGAUAUGCGGAGGAACACCGAUGGCGAAGGCAAUCCCCUGGGCCUGCACUGACGCUCAUGCACGAAAGCGUGGGGAGCAAACAGG